rnacentral:rRNA from 1 species
AGAGUUUGAUCCUGGCUCAGAUUGAACGCUGGCGGCAUGCUUUACACAUGCAAGUCGAACGGAUCUAGGGGCUUGCUCCUAGGUUAGUGGCGAACGGGUGAGUAAUGCAUCGGAACGUACCGUGUAGUGGGGGAUAACCCGGCGAAAGUCGGAUUAAUACCGCAUACGAUCUACGGAUGAAAGCGGGGGAUCGCAAGACC